rnacentral:rRNA from 1 species
CAGCACCUCAAGUGGUCAGGAUGAUUAUUGGGCCUAAAGCAUCCGUAGCCGGCGCUGUAAGUUUUCGGUUAAAUCUGUACGCUCAACGUACAGGCUGCUGGGAAUACUGCAGCGCUAGGGAGUGGGAGAGGUAGACGGUACUCGGUAGGAAGGGGUAAAAUCCUUUGAUCUAUUGAUGACCACCUGUGGCGAAGGCGGUCUACCAGAACACGUCCGACGGUGAGGGAUGAAAGCUGGGGGAGCAAACCGGAUUAGAUACCCGAGUAGUCC